rnacentral:lncRNA from 13 species
AUGGAUGAACUGUGUACAUACACAGAUAGCAUGGACAAAAACUCCCUAAAGUACCCAAAGACUGAGCAGACAGAGAAAAUGUGGAUGCGACUCAAGGGAAUGCAGAAGUACAAAAACACAUCUCAAAGGUACGUCCCAUGGUGUCUGUCUGUCUACUGUCUAUCUACUUUAUCAAACAUGCCCACAUGCUAUAUAAUGAUACCAACUCUUCUUAUCUUAUGCAUACAGUCAUUAGCCUAAGAAUGUAUAACACAAAGCAUUGGUAGAUGUUGCCUUAGAUCAAUCUUUCAACAAACAAUCUGUUAGCGCUGAAUUGUCAUACGUAAAGAUAAUUUAUUUAACAGUAAAGUAUCUAUAGGGUGAAGCGUAUGAGGCUCUUGUUGUAGCUUUACUGUAUGUGGGUUUAAAUACUUUAUUCAUACUAAACAGUACUGUGUGAGUUUAAAUACUUUAUUCAUACUAUACUUUACUGUGUGGGUUUAGAGAGUCUUGUUACUACGGUUGCAAAAUUACAGGAAUUCCUGGUUGGAGGAACACAUAAUUUCUGCUUAUUCCCUCCUGAUUCCGGGAAUCCUCCAACUGGGAUUUCAGGAAAACCAGGGAAUUUAUUGAAAGUUCCCGGAAUUUUGCAACAUUACUUGAUAC